rnacentral:rRNA from 1 species
CAGUAGCCACGGUAAUACGUAGGUGGCAAGCGUUAUCCGGAAUUAUUGGGCGUAAAGCGCGCGUAGGCGGUUUUUUAAGUCUGAUGUGAAAGCCCACGGCUCAACCGUGGAGGGUCAUUGGAAACUGGAAAACUUGAGUGCAGAAGAGGAAAGUGGAAUUCCAUGUGUAGCGGUGAAAUGCGCAGAGAUAUGGAGGAACACCAGUGGCGAAGGCGACUUUCUGGUCUGUAACUGACGCUGAUGUGCGAAAGUGUGGGGAUCAAACAGGAUUAGAUACCCGCGUAGUCCAUGUCUCUUAUAA